rnacentral:rRNA from 1 species
AUUGAACGCUGGCGGCAGGCCUAACACAUGCAAGUCGAACGGUAACAGGAAGCAGCUUGCUGCUUUGCUGACGAGUGGCGGACGGGUGAGUAAUGUCUGGGAAACUGCCUGAUGGAGGGGGAUAACUACUGGAAACGGUAGCUAAUACCGCAUAACGUCGCAAGACCAAAGAGGGGGACCUUAGGGCCUCUUGCCAUCGGAUGUGCCCAGAUGGGAUUAGCUAGUAGGUGGGGUAACGGCUCACCUAGGCGACGAUCCCUAGCUGGUCUGAGAGGAUGACCAGCCACACUGGAACUGAGACACGGUCCAGACUCCUACGGGAGGCAGCAGUGGGGAAUAUUGCACAAUGGGCGCAAGCCGGAUGCAGCCAUGCCGCGUGUAUGAAGAAGGCCUUCGGGUUGUAAAGUACUUUCAGCGGGGAGGAAGGGAGUAAAGUUAAUACCUUUGCUCAUUGACGUUACCCGCAGAAGAAGCACCGGCUAACUCCGUG